rnacentral:rRNA from 1 species
UAAAGGCCUACCAAGGCGACGAUCCAUAGCUGGUCUGAGAGGAUGAUCAGCCACAUUGGGACUGAGACACGGCCCAAACUCCUACGGGAGGCAGCAGUGGGGAAUCUUGCACAAUGGAGGAAACUCUGAUGCAGCGAUGCCGCGUGAGUGAAGAAGGCCUUUGGGUUGUAAAGCUCUUUCGUCGGGGAAGAAAAUGACUGUACCCGAAUAAGAAGGUCCGGCUAACUUCGUGCCAGCAGCCGCGGUAAUACGAAGGGACCUAGCGUAGUUCGGAAUUACUGGGCUUAAAGAGUUCGUAGGUGGUUGAAAAAGUUGGUGGUGAAAUCCCAGAGCUUAACUCUGGAACUGCCAUCAAAACUUUUCAGCUAGAGUAUGAUAGAGGAAAGCAGAAUUUCUAGUGUAGAGGUGAAAUUCGUAGAUAUUAGAAAGAAUACCAAUUGCGAAGGCAGCUUUCUGGAUCAUUACUGACACUGAGGAACGAAAGCAUGGGUAGCGAAGAGGAUUAGAUACCCUCGUAGUCCAUGCCGUAAACGAUGUGUGUUAGACGUUGGAAAUUUAUUUUCAGUGUCGCAGGGAAACCGAUAAACACACCGCCUGGGGAGUACGACCGCAAGGUUAAAACUCAAAUGAAUUGACGGGGACCCGCACAAGUAGUGGAGCAUGUGGUUUAAUUCGAAGAUACGCGCAGAACCUUACCAACACUUGACAUGUUCGUCGCGACUCUAAGAGAUUAGAGUUUUCGGUUCGGCCGGACGAAACACAGGUGCUGCAUGGCUGUCGUCAGCUCGUGUCGUGAGAUGUUGGGUUAAGUCCC